UACGGGGGGGGCAAGCGUUGUUCGGAAUUACUGGGCGUAAAGGGCUCGUAGGCGGCCAACUAAGUCGGACGUGAAAUCCCUCGGCUUAACCGGGGAACGGCGUCCGAUACUGGAUGGCUUGGAUUCGGGAGAGGAAUGCGGAAUUCCAGGUGUAGCGGUGAAAUGCGUAGAUAUCUGGAGGAACACCGGUGGCGAAGGCGGCAUUCUGGACCGACAUUGACGCUGAGGAGCGAAAGCCAGGGGAGCAAACGGG
rnacentral:rRNA from 1 species